UCUGGUUGAUCCUGCCAGUAGUCAUACGCUCGUCUCAAAGAUUAAGCCAUGCAUGUGUAAGUAUAAAUAGUUAACUUUGAAACUGCGAAUGGCUCAUUAUAUCAGUUAUAGUUUAUUUGAUGAAGAAUACUAAUUGGAUAACCGUAGUAAUUCUAGAGCUAAUACAUGUAUAAAGUCUUGUAGACUGCAUUUAUUAGAAUGAAAACCAUAGGUUUCGGCCUAUUCGUGAGUAAUAAUAACUAAUCAUAUCGUAUGCUUAUGUAACGAUGUGUCUUUCAAGUUUCUGCCCUAUCAGCUUUCGAUGGUAGUGUAUUGGACUACCAUGGCAGUAACGGGUAACGAAGAAUUUGGGUUCGAUUUCGGAGAGGGAGCCUGAGAGAUGGCUACCACGUCCAAGGAAGGCAGCAGGCGCGUAAAUUACCCAAUCCUGACACAGGGAGGUAGGGACAAUAAAUCACAAUGCGGAACAAUGUUUUGCAAUUGGAUUGAGAACAACGUACAAACCUUAUCGAUAAACAAUUGGAGGGCAAGUCUGGUA
rnacentral:rRNA from 1 species